rnacentral:rRNA from 1 species
CAAACCGGAGGAAGGUGGGGAUGACGUCAAGUCAUCAUGGCCCUUACGGCCAGGGCUACACACGUGCUACAAUGGUCGGUACAAAGGGUUGCCAAGCCGCGAGGUGGAGCUAAUCCCAUAAAACCGAUCGUAGUCCGGAUCGCAGUCUGCAACUCGACUGCGUGAAGUCGGAAUCGCUAGUAAUCGUGAAUCAGGAUGUCACGGUGAAUACGUUCCCGGGCCUUGUACACACCGCCCGUCC